rnacentral:rRNA from 1 species
AAAUGCUCGUAGUUGGUCUUAAGUGCGGUUUAGAUUAUUUCUCAAUGAAAAAAACUUUUACAAAGUCCUUCCUAGAUCAGAAACUUAGAUGUGUUUGUGAAAGGGUAGCUUUUAUCGUGAAUAAAUUAAGGUGUUUAAGACAAGUUCUUGUUUUGUAUAUAUUAGCAUGGAAUAAGAAGUUAAAAUGCUAAUUUACUGGCUAAUGAUUGCUGUACGAGAUUAAUAGGGAUAGUCGGAGGCAUUCGUACUUCAUUGGGAGAGGUGGAAUUCUUGGAUCAUUGUCGGACGCACUUCUGCGAAAGCAUCUGCCAAGGAUGUUCUCGUUGAUCAUGGGCGAGAGUUGAGGUUUCGAAGGCGUUUAGAUACCGCUGUAGUCUCAACUUUAAACGAUAUCGACCAGGGAGCGGUUUUAUUAAGUAUUAAUAGUAUCGGAUUCUAGCGAGAAAUCAGAGUUUUUGGGUUCUGGGGGGAGUAUGGUCGCAAGUCUGAAACUUAAAGGAAUUGACGACUGGGCACCACAAGGCGUGGAGCCUGCGGCUUAAUUUGACUCAACACGGGGAACAUUACCAGGUCUACAUAUAGGUAGGAUGGACAGUGGAGAAGCCCUUUCCUGAUUCUAUGGAUAGUGGUGCAUGGCCGUUUUUAGCUGGUGGGUUGCCUUGUCAGGUUGGUUCCGGUAACGAGCGAGACCUCUACUCACUAAUUAGAAUGUGUAUUAAUGAUUUUGUCUCAUAGCUUCUUAGAAGGAAUAUUGUCUAAAGGCAUUGGAAGAUAGAGGCCAUAACAGGUCUGUGAUGCCCUUCAAUGUUCUGGGCAGCACGCGCGCUACACUGAUGUA